CAGUCGCCGCGGUAAUACGAAGGGUGCAAGCGUUAAUCGGAAUUACUGGGCGUAAAGCGUGCGUAGGCGGUUUGUUAAGUCUGCUGUGAAAUCACCGGGCUCAACCUGGGAAUGGCAGUGGAUACUGGCAAGCUAGAGUGUGUCAGAGGAUGGUGGAAUUCCCGGUGUAGCGGUGAAAUGCGUAGAGAUCGGGAGGAACAUCAGUGGCGAAGGCGGCCAUCUGGGACAACACUGACGCUGAGGCACGAAAGCGUGGGGAGCAAACAGGAUUAGAUACCCCGGUAGUCCCUGUCUCUUAUAC
rnacentral:rRNA from 1 species